rnacentral:snoRNA from 1 species
UUGCCACCUCUUACUUGCAAAUUGGACAUGACUUUCUUGGUCAAUAAAGCAUAUCAAAGUGAAUGUCUGUUUAAAUGCAAGCAACCUUGGGUAUAUGUCUUGUAUUCUAUCAGAGAAACAACA